rnacentral:rRNA from 1 species
UACGUAGGGCGCUAGCGUUGUUCGGAAUUACUGGGCGUAAAGCGCACGUAGGCGGCCGGCUAAGUCAGACGUGAAAUCCCUCGGCUCAACCGGGGAACUGCGUCUGAUACUGGGUGGCUUGAAUUCGGGAGAGGGAUGCGGAAUUCCAGGUGUAGCGGUGAAAUGCGUAGAUAUCUGGAGGAACACCGGUGGCGAAGGCGGCAUCCUGGACCGAGAUUGACGCUGAGGCGCGAAAGCCAGGGGAGCAAACGGG